rnacentral:rRNA from 1 species
UACAGGGGGGGCAAGCGUUGUUCGGAAUUACUGGGCGUAAAGGGCUCGUAGGCGGCCAACUAAGUCACACGUGAAAUCCCCAGCUUAACCUGGGAACUGCGUGUGAUACUGGAUGGCUUGAAUUCGGGAGAGGGAUGCAGAAUUCCAGGUGUAGCGGUGAAAUGCGUAGAUGUCUGGAGGAAUACCGGUGGCGAAGGCGGCAUCCUGGACCGACAUUGACGCUGAUGAGCGAAAGCUAGGGGAGCAAAGCGGG